rnacentral:rRNA from 1 species
GAUGAACGCUGGCGGCGUGCCUAAUACAUGCAAGUCGAACGAAACUUCUUUAUCACCGAGUGCUUGCACUCACCGAUAAAGAGUUGAGUGGCGAACGGGUGAGUAACACGUGGGCAACCUGCCCAAAAGAGGGGGAUAACACUUGGAAACAGGUGCUAAUACCGCAUAACCAUAGUUACCGCAUGGUAACUAUGUAAAAGGUGGCUAUACUACCGCUUUUGGAUGGGCCCGCGGCGCAUUAGCUAGUUGGUAGGGUAAAGGCUUACCAAGGCAAUGAUGCGUAGCCGAAUUGAGAGGUUGAUCGGCCACAUUGGGAUUGAGACACGGCCCAAACUCCUACGGGAGGCAGCAGUAGGGAAUCUUCCACAAUGGGCGAAAGCCUGAUGGAGCAACGCCGCGUGGGUGAAGAAGGUCUUCGGAUCGUAAAACCCUGUUGUUAGAGAAGAAAGUGCGUGAGAGUAACUGUUCACGUUUCGACGGUAUCUAACCAGAAAGCCACGGCUAACUACGUG